rnacentral:rRNA from 1 species
UACGUAGGGGGCUAGCGUCGUCCGGAAUCAUUGGGCGUAAAGAGCGUGUAGGCGGUCCGGUAAGUCCGCUGUGAAAGUCGGGGGCUCAACCCUCGAAUGCCGGUGGAUACUGUCGGGCUAGAGUGCGGAAGAGGCGAGUGGAAUUCCUGGUGUAGCGGUGAAAUGCGUAGAUAUCUGGAGGAACACCGGUGGCGAAGGCGGCAUCCUGGACCGGUAUUGACGCUGAUGCGCGAAAGCCAGGGGAGCAAACGGG